UACGAAGGGGGCUAGCGUUGCUCGGAAUGACUGGGCGUAAAGGGCGCGUAGGCGGAAUGCUUUGUCGGGCGUGAAAUUCCAGGGCUCAACCUUGGGGCUGCGUUCGAGACGGGGUAUUCUAGAGUGGGGAAGAGGGUCGUGGAAUUCCCAGUGUAGAGGUGAAAUUCGUAGAUAUUGGGAAGAACACCCGUGGCGAAGGCGGCUCUCUG
rnacentral:rRNA from 1 species